CAUGUUCUGAGGAAUGAAAAGGCACUAUAUCUACCUCACAUCAACCUGCAAGGGAAUAAGCGUUCUGGAUGAGGAAGGAAGACUGAGCAUAGCUGCAAAGCUGGAGAAGGAACAGGACAAACCAUCCAGAUCUUCAUGCCAGAACACCUGCUUGUAGC